GAUCCUGGCUCAGAAUCAACGCUGGCGGCGUGCCUAACACAUGCAAGUCGCACGAGAAAGGGUAGCAAUACCUGAGUAAAGUGGCGCACGGGUGAGUAACACGUGAAUAAUCUACCUCCGAGUGGGGAAUAACUGAGAGAAAUCUUAGCUAAUACCGCAUAACACUUACGAGUCAAAGCAGCAAUGCGCUUGGAGAGGAGUUCGCGGCAGAUUAGUUAGUUGGCGGGGUAAUGGCCCACCAAGACGAUGAUCUGUAUCCGGCCUGAGAGGGCGCACGGACACACUGGAACUGAAACACGGUCCAGACUCCUACGGGAGGCAGCAGUGGGGAAUUUUGCGCAAUGGGGGAAACCCUGACGCAGCAACGCCGCGUGGAGGAUGAAAUCCCUUGGGAUGUAAACUCCUUUCGAUAGGGAAGAUAAUGACGGUACCUAUAGAAGAAGCCCCGGCUAACUUCGUGCCAGCAGCCGCGGUAAUACGAGGGGGGCAAGCGUUGUUCGGAUUUAUUGGGCGUAAAGGGUGCGUAGGCGGUUUGGCAAGUCUUGUGUGAAAUCUUUGGGCUCAACCCAAAGUCUGCAUAAGAAACUGCCGGGCUUGAGUAUGGGAGAGGUGAGUGGAAUUUCCGGUGUAGCGGUGAAAUGCGUAGAUAUCGGAAGGAACACCUGUGGCGAAAGCGGCUCACUGGACCAU
rnacentral:rRNA from 1 species